rnacentral:rRNA from 1 species
GGAGUUUGGGCCGUGUCUCAGUCCCAAUGUGGCCGUUCACCCUCUCAGGCCGGCUACUGAUCGUCGCUUUGGUGGGCCGUUACCCCGCCAACUGGCUAAUCAGACGCGGAUCCAUCUCGCACCGAUAAAUCUUUUACCUCAGCCCCAUGCAGGGCCGUGGUCUUAUGCGGUAUUACCAGCCGUUUCCAGCUGCUAUCCCCCUGUGCGAGGCAGGUUAUCCACGCGUUACUCACCCGUCCGCCACUAACACUUCUCGGUGCCUCCCCUCUUGAGCAAGCUCGCAAGGUUUGGCGGUAAGUAGUGUCCGUUCGACUUGCAUGUGUUAAGCACGCCGCCAGCGUUCAUC